CCUACGGGACGCAGCAGUGAGGAAUAUUGGUCAAUGGACGCAAGUCUGAACCAGCCAUGCCGCGUGCAGGAAGACGGCUCUAUGAGUUGUAAACUGCUUUUGUACGAGGGUAAACGCAGAUACGCGUAUCUGUCUGAAAGUAUCGUACGAAUAAGGAUCGGCUAACUCCGUUCCAGCCGCCGCGGUAAUACGGAGGAUUCAAGCGUUAUCCGGAUUUAUUGGGUUUAAAGGGUGCGUAGGCGGUCGGAUAAGUUAGAGGUGAAAUCCCGAGGCUCAACUUCGGAAUUGCAUCUGAUACUGUUCGGCUAGAGAGUAGUUGCGGUAGGCGGAAUGUAUGGUGUAGCGGUGAAAUGCUUAGAGAUCAUACAGAACACCGAUUGCGAAGGCAGCUUACCAAGCUACUUCUGACGUUGAGGCACGAAAGCGUGGGGAGCAAACAGGAUUAGAUACCCCUGUAGUC
rnacentral:rRNA from 1 species